rfam:Pseudomonas sp. 21C1 contig00006, whole genome shotgun sequence.
GAAUUACCGUCGGUAAAGGUUAACCACCGACCCGAAGCGAGUCUUGCAUGAUGGCCGGGUAACCGACUCUGCGAAGCCAGACAGCGAACCUGUAGACCUUGUGAUUGAGCCUCGAAAUAUUCGUGCUGAUUCGCGCCACUAUCGCGAAUAAAUUCGCUCCUACACAAGCCAGAUCAGGGUUUCAACAGCC